UACGUAGGGUGCAAGCGUUGUCCGGAAUUAUUGGGCGUAAAGCGCGCGCAGGCGGUCCUUUAAGUCUGAUGUGAAAGCCCACGGCUCAACUGUGGAGGGUCAUUGGAAACUGGGGGGACUUGAGUGCAGGAGAGAAGAGUGGAAUUCCACGUGUAGCGGUGAAAUGCGUAGAGAUGUGGAGGAACACCAGUGGCGAAGGCGACUCUUUGGCCUGUAACUGACGCUGAGGCGCGAAAGCGUGGGGAGCAAACAGG
rnacentral:rRNA from 1 species